rnacentral:rRNA from 1 species
CCUACGGGAGGCUGCAGUGGGGAAUAUUGCUCAAUGGGGGAAACCCUGAUGCAGCGACGCCGCGUGAGCGAUGAAGUUUUUAGGUAUGUAAACUCCUAUUAGUAGGGAAGAAUAUGACGGUAUCUGACUAAGAAGCCCCGGCUAACUACGUGCCAGCAGCCGCGGUAAUACGUAGGGGGCAAGCGUUAUCCGGAUUUACUGGGUGUAAAGGGUGCGUAGACGGGGUUGCAAGCCAGAUGUGAAAGCCUGGGGCUCAACUCCAGGACUGCAUUUGAAACUGUGUGUCUGGAGUGUCGGAGAGGCAGGCGGAAUUACUGGUGUAGGGGUAAAAUGCGGAGAUAUUAAGAGGAACACCAGUGGCGAAGGCGACCUGCUGGACCAUGACUGACGAUGAGGCACGAAAGCGUGGGGAGCAAACAGGAUUAGAUACCCCUGUAGUC